rnacentral:rRNA from 1 species
CCUACGGGUGGCAGCAGUGGGGAAUAUUGCACAAUGGGGGAAACCCUGAUGCAGCGACGCCGCGUGAGUGAAGAAGUAUUUCGGUAUGUAAAGCUCUAUCAGCAGGGAAGAAAAUCACGGUACCUGAUCAAGAAGCCCCGGCUAACUACGUGCCAGCAGCCGCGGUAAUACGUAGGGGGCAAGCGUUAACCGGAUGUACUGGGUGUAAAGGGAGCGUAGACGGAGGGACAAGUCUGGAGUGAAAUGCCGGGGCUUAACCCCGGGACUGCUUUGGAAACUGUUCAGCUGGAGUGCAGGAGAGGUAAGUGGAAUUCCUAGUGUAGCGGUGAAAUGCGUAGAUAUUAGGAGGAACACCAGUGGCGAAGGCGGCUUACUGGACUGUAACUGACGUUGAGGCUCGAAAGCGUGGGGAGCAAACAGGAUUAGAUACCCGUGUAGUC